rnacentral:rRNA from 1 species
AUUGAACGCUGGCGGCAGGCCUAACACAUGCAAGUCGAACGGUAACAGGAAGAAGCUUGCUUCUUUGCUGUCGCGUGGCGGACGGGAGAGUAAUGUUUGGGAAACUUCCUGAUGGAGGGGGAUAACUACUGGAAACGGUAGCUAAUACCGCAUACCGUCGCAAGACCAAAAAGGGGGACCUUCUGGCCUCUUGCCGUCGGAUGUGCCCAGCUGGGAUUAGCUAGGAGGGGGGGUAACGGCUCACCUCGGCGACGAUCCCUAGCUGGUCUGAGAGGAUGGCCAGCCACACUGGAAGUGAGACAGGGUCCAGAGUCCUACGGGAGGCAGCAGUGGGGAAUAUUGCGCAAUGGGGGCGAGCCUGAUGCAGCCAUGCGGCGUGUAUGAAGAAGGCGUUCGGGUUGUAAAGUCCUUUCAGCGGUGGGGAAGGGAGUAAAGUUAAUACCGUGGCUCAUUGACGUUACCCGCAGAAGAAGCACCGGCUAACUCCGUG